GAUGGGACGCCGGUCCAGCCAAGGAGAACCGCUCGGCGCGCGAAGGGGACCGCCGGUCGAAGCUCCGUCGACCGGACCUCCUCGCCUAUAAAUAGAGGAGCACCUCCGUUGACGAACGGCAUCGCAAGCUUGGACAUCUUCCCACUGAGAGACUUCGGGGGAGGAAUCGAAGAGCGAGCGAGAGAGAACUCGAGUUGCGAGCUCGGCUGACCUCCCACUGAGAGACUUCGGGGGAGGCCGCCGGCGAGCGAGUCCGAGGAGGUCAGAUCUGGCCGGUGGAGGCUCAGAUCUGACCGGAGUGAGGGAGAUUGGCCGGAGGGAGAGGGUCGGUCAAGGUCUAGAUCUGGGUUCUCGCUGCUGCUACUGUUGACACCCCGACGCUGCGUCGAGCCGUGCCGCCGUCCCCACACCGUCGCCUCGAUCGAGUACCGACGUAGUCGCCUCGAAGGCUCGUUGCCGUCCCCCCUGCUAAGCCGUGACCGAUCCGCGAGAGGAGCCAGAGACAGGAGGACCAGAUCUAAGAAGUUGAAGACCCGCCGUCACGACCGUCGCUGCCCCGUCGCGUCUGUCGCUCUGGGCAGCCGCCUCCACCACCAACGACGCCGUCUCGUCGACCGACAACGCCGCCGCGCCAUACCUCUCCACAGACAGGUAUCACCCCCUCGCUUGGCCGUCGCCGUUUCCGCUCGAAACCCUCCUCGGCGCCCCGAGCCCCCGCGGGAUCCAGUCCUCGGUCGCGCUCUGUCCACCGUUCUUCUCUGCAUCUCCAUCCGUCGCCGCCGUCGUACCGCCGCACCACGUCCUCCUGCCGCUGCUGUCCUUUGUUCGUGUCGUUGCCGUCGCCGCCGCUGCCGCCGGGACGCCUCGUCCCCCUCCCUCGGCGCCGCGAAUCGGGAACCCUAGGGUUCCCGAUUUUCCGGGUUGUGGCCUCGGGUCAUCGGAUCGGACCCGGGCCACGAACCGGGUAGGGUUUUUGCGUUCUGAGGCCGGGCUGAAAUCGGGUCGGAAGUCGGGUCGGGUGCUGGAGCCGGGUCGGGUAGGGUUUC
rnacentral:lncRNA from 1 species